UAAACAGUGGCCACAGAGAAAUGAAGAGCAGCACAGAGCCAUCCAGCUUCCAGGUGAGUGCCCCAGCUGCUGGAACAUUUCCUCAGACUUGUUCAUGCUUCACCUGGCAUUUCUGGCAGACAAGCAGCCAGAUCUGCAGCACUGUAGAGCAGGGGCCAGGGGGCUGCUGAUUAAAUCCCCCUGAGGUGGGGGUGCUGCUGAACCAAGGUGUGCCCCCACACAGGUGUAUGCCCCAGCCCCGCAAUGUGAGCAGUAGAAGAGGGAGGCAGCCCUGACACCAGCUGCAGGUUUCAUGGUGUCCCUUCUCUGCUGCUGAUCCAAACAUGCACUAUCACAAGCAGGAUUUAAUCACCCCAAACAAGCUACUUUAACAACACACUUGUUCAAUUCUGUCUGCUGACCGAGCUUCAUUUGAAUAUUAUUAUUAUUCUCUACUGGAUGACCAAUUAUUAUUUCUACACUUACACUCUCCCUCCAAAAAAAAUGUUUGGGUCAGCUGGUUCUCCUAGCUGUAUCCCUGCCAUUUCCCUGUGCUCCUGAAACAUGUGUGUACCUACAAGCCUUGCUGGGUUUGCAGAGAUGCAAACAAUUUGGAGAUGGACUCAGCCUCUCUGUGAGUGGCUUUAUUGGCUUGCGGGAGCUUGGACCUAUUCUUUUUGAGCAUCACUGAUGAUUGGACUAAAACCCAGUGGAGACAGAUUAAUGGGGAACAGAUGGAUGUAGAGCUCAGAAGGUUUGCCAAGG